UUUUCCCGAGAACGACGCUGCCUUUGAUUUCUCUGAGAUGUUUGCAUGGGGAAGUGUUUCGCUUUCUUUCCUGUUGGGGGUGGGGUUUUUUUUAAAACUUAUUUGCAAGGCUAUAUUUUUUUACUCCUUUAUUUAUCAUUCUUUAAAUGUCAGCGAGAAUACGUGAGCCGUUUCCGAUCGGUUUGGAACCUAAGCCGAUUCCUCUCGCGACAUAAUGGGAUUUUUUUUCUGCCUCUCAUUUGAUAAAAGCCACCAGGGACUUACUUCUCAAGAUAACAGCUCAGAGUUCUUCACGAUUACAUCUUGAAAGUUAUACUCAAGUCAAAAAAAGAACUGUGGCCAACGCUAGGAACUUUAAAAGCAGAAAACACAACCCCGAUACAUCGCGCGAAAAUGGAAGCAGGAAAAUGACGCUCAAGCGAGCUCCACUCUCGGAAGGGCUGGAGAU